GAUAAGAUGGCUGAAGUUUAGGUUGUAAAUUGUAAAUUUAUAUAUGAGUAUUACUCUCUUGUCA
rnacentral:tRNA from 1 species